rnacentral:rRNA from 1 species
CCGCGGUAAUACGGAGGGAGCUAGCGUUGUUCGGAAUUACUGGGCGUAAAGCGCACGUAGGCGGCUUUGUAAGUUAGAGGUGAAAGCCCGGGGCUCAACUGGGAGAGGUCGUUCGAAACUGGGCCGCUAGAGGGCAGUAGAGGGGCGUGGAAUUCCGGGUGGAGUGGUGAAAUGCGUAGAGAUCCGGAGGAACACCAGAGGCGAAGGCGGCGCCCUGGGCUGCACCUGACGCUGAGCCGCGAAAGCUAGGGGAGCGAACGGG